CCCUUAGAUGUUCUGGGCCGCACGCGCGCUACACUGACGAAUGCAACGAGCUUAUAACCUUGGCCGAAAGGUCUGGGUAAUCUCCAAAUUUCGUCGUGAUGGGGAUAGAUUAUUGCAAUUAUUAAUCUUCAACGAGGAAUGCCUAGUAAGCGCAAGUCAUCAGCUUGCGUUGAUUACGUCCCUGCCCUUUGUACACACCGCCCGUCGCACCUACCGAUUGAAUGGUCCGGUGAAAUCUUCGGAUCUGAGAGAUGUUGGAUUAAUUUCUGACGCCUUUUGGAAAAGUCGCUUAAACCUUAUCAUUUAGAGGAAGGUGAAGUCGUAACA
rnacentral:rRNA from 1 species